rnacentral:rRNA from 1 species
CAAUAGCGUAUAUUUAAGUUGCUGCAGUUAAAAAGCUCGUAGUUGGAUUUCGGGUGGGAAUGGCCGAUCCGCCGUUUCGGUGUGCACUUGCUACGCCCACCUUGCUGCCGGGGACGUGCUCUUGAGUUCACGCUCGGGACACGGAGUCGGCGAGGUUACUUUGAGUAAAUUAGAGUGUUCAAAGCAGGCCUACGCUCUGAAUACAUUAGCAUGGAAUAACACGAUAGGACUCUGGCCUAUCUUGUUGGUCUGUAGGACCGGAGUAAUGAUUAAGAGGGACAGUCGGGGGCAUUCGUAUUUCAUUGUCAGAGGUGAAAUUCUUGGAUUUAUGAAAGACGAACUUCUGCGAAAGCAUUUGUCAAGGAUGUUUUCAUUAA